AUUACUAGAGGCAACAAUAAUAAUCAAAAGGUGAACAUGAUAAGCAAUUUAGUCAAUUUAAUUAUUAUUUCCUAAACUUAUUACACAGUAAAAAACGUUAAUCCAACCGUUAAUUUUUUAAUCCAACCAUUGGAUUAUUUUACAAAAAUGUUGGGUAAUUUUUAGUAAUAACCCGGCUGUUGGGUUAAAUACGGUUCCCGCUCUGACUGUUCAAAUUUCAAAUUUUAACGGUCCAGUGACAGUCAACAGGAAGAAGCUGCUGUAGCCUGAUUAUGAAAGGCGCUCUGUGUGGUGAUGAUGUCUGCCUCACCUGUGAACAGGUGGAAUCCGCACCGGACCGGAGUGACGACAGCUCAGAUCCGGACUGAAGCUCCAGCAGAUCAUCAAUCCACAGCUCAUCAUUAGCAGACGAGCACACCGAGACUCUUUCAUGUCAGAGCUCUAGAUCUCAAACUUCACACAGACCGCUUUACAUCAUCAUCAUCAUCAUCAGGGUCUCUGAGGAUGGCAAUGAGUCGCGCGUCCGGCUGCACCGCCUGAAUGAAGUCCUGGACGAGUGACGGAGGCUCCGCCUCUCUGCUGAUGUCAUGGAGGAACACUCGAGCACACGGAUCACCUGACCUCAUGUGGAAAUUAAAAUAAACACACAGAUCUGAGAACGUACCAGUGAUGAUGCUGCUGCUGAUGGAGGAGUUUCCCAGAAGUCUGUGCUGUAUCCGC